rnacentral:rRNA from 1 species
AGAAAUGAAGUAAGACCCCUCAGAGAUGAUGAGGUAGAUAGGCUAGAAGUGGACGUGUGGUGACACAUGGAGCGGACUAGUACUAAUGGUUCGAGGACUUAACCAAG